rnacentral:rRNA from 1 species
CAGUAGCCGCGGUAAUACGUAGGUGGCAAGCGUUGUCCGGAAUUAUUGGGCGUAAAGCGUGCGCAGGCGGUUGUGUAAGACAGGUGUGAAAUCCCCGGGCUUAACCUGGGAACUGCGCUUGUGACUGCACAGCUAGAGUAUGGCAGAGGGGGGUGGAAUUCCACGUGCAGCAGUGAAAUGCGUAGAGAUGUGGAGGAACACCGAUGGCGAAGGCAGCCCCCUGGCCAAUACUGACGCUCAUGCACGAAAGCGUGGGGAGCAAACAGGAUUAGAUACCCCCGUAGUCCCUGUCUCUUAUACA